UCCACCUCAGCUUCCCGAGCAGCUGGGACUACAGCUACGCAGACAUUGUGCUGGAAUUUCUAUGCUGAAGAAUUAAGCUAUAUUGUUUGGCAAAAGAAGAAACUGAAAACAAGAAAUCCAUCCCUUUCUACCACUGCUAUUAUAUCAUCCACGUUUAAAAAAAAAAAGUUUGUAUGUAGUUAUAUACAACAAGAAGUUUCUGCUUCGGAUUUCUCUGUUGGGCAGGGUGGUGGGAGGGAUGGGGUCUCGAGUUUUUCCCAAGUGAAAUCCUGGUAAUCCUGCCUGAGAGAAUUCUUAUGAAAGUUUCACUCACAAUGAAAGCAAACUUCCAAGGUGGAGGAGGGUGAAGCCGGCUGGCUGGACCGAUCACUGAGGCCCAGUGCUGCGAAGAGAGUUCAGCACAUUAUUCCAACCCUUUCUGGGAGCACGGCCCAGGCUUGGCACCGGUUUGGUGUUCUCGAGUGUGAUGCAUUCUGAAAACCUGGCUGCGUCCGUGGCCCAGCUCCAGUUCUGCAGGGCUCAGCAUCAGGCUGCCCCCUCUCCUAAGGUGUUUUGCAGGAUCGCCCCUCAGAGCUAAACACCCACCAGCUGACCACCUGUUCCAGGUGAUGGGAUUUUGGCUCAGAUCAGCCUGGAUCAGGGUGGACCUCUACAAGCUGGCUUGCAUGAAUGUAAAUGUCUGCUGCCCAUCUUGAAGACCAUCGGCAAGCUUUGGUGGGUUCAUAUUCAGUGGCAUUAGGGAUUAAGGCAAACUUAAAAUGAUUCUGAGUGUAAACAGAUACAGAUAUAAACUUUUGGGGGAACAAUUUGGUAAUAGCUAAUAACAAUCGUUAAAAUGUUUAUAUCCUUUGACCUGAUAGUGUUAGUUCUAAGAAUUUACCUUAAGAAAAUAAAUAAAUUUAUAUCCCAUGAUAUCUUCA
rnacentral:lncRNA from 1 species